rnacentral:rRNA from 1 species
GACAGAGGCCCCAAGCGUUAGGCGGAAUCACUGGGCUUAAAGCGGGUGUAGGCGGAUCGUUAAGUGUCUUGUGAAAUCCCACGGCUCACCCGUGGAACUGCUGGGCAUACUGGCGAUCUUGGGCCAACUAGGGGCAGCCGGAACAAGCGGUGGAGCGGUGAAAUGCGUAGAUAUCGCUUGGAACGCCGAAGGUGAAAACAGGCUGCUGGGGUUGCGCCGACGCUGAGACACGAAAGCCAGGGGAGCAAACGGG